CAUACAUGGAAAUCUGUGAAUCCUGUGCUGGCAUCUGCAUAAAGGAUCAUUUUCUGGGAGGGCCUGUUACAUCAUUUCCAUGAUCUGCUCUCACUUUCCGCUGCAAUGGCUGCAUGGGAAAUGCAUCUGCUUCUACAACUGAGCUUUAAAGAGCACAAGUCCUCUUCUGCUACAAGGAACCUGUAAAGAGCAACAGCAAUUAAGGAGGGAGGAAAGAAGCUGAAACAGUAAUUCCAAGUGGUUUUCUCCUCAGGAUUUCUGGAUCCCACCACUGACUUUCCAGCAGCCAGGCCAAGGCAGGUGAAUCCCUCUGUGCCCCGAUUUAUCCAUCUAUAACAUAAGCAUGGUCAGCUUUACCUGCUCCACCACUUUGUCACGUGGGGCACCCAAGAAAUAUCUGUGAAUUGCUGUAAG